UUUGCCAUCUCCUCCCUCUCUUGCUUUUAGUCUCUUGCUCCCUCUCUUACCUCUUACUCCCUUACCUCUUAUUCUCGUGCUCUCACUCUUGCUCCCCUGCUCCAGAUCUUUCCCCAUCCCUUUCCCCCCUCUCUCCACGUGGCUAUGGCUGGCCUCUACUUCUCCACUCUCUCGUCCUCUCUGCAUUUCUACAAUAAACUCCUUAAAACCACGGACUGCCUCUUCUCAUCAUCAGGAUCCGCUGUGCAAUGGAACAGGUCUUCCGCCAACGAGCCGCACUUCUAACCUCUUACCCGGAGGCCUCCCUGUGCUCCAGCCAUGGCUUCUGCCAACCCAAGCGGCCAACUGAGCUAUCCAGACUCUCUUGUCCCUGAGCCAUGAUGCCUGUGACCUUCCAGUACACAAUCCCUCUACAGUGUUUUGGCUUCACCUUUGAUUAUACCCUGGUUUUCUGGAAUCAUCACAAAAGUUUAUAGAGCUAUUUGUAUUCCAGAGUCACCACAGAACCUCAAGAUAACAUAACUACAGUACCUGCUUGUCAACCUGCCAAUGCUGCAGUGCACAAUGGAAUCCAGAGGAAGUAGCCUCCUUCCCUGCUGGACCAGAAUUUUGCUUCCACCAAACCAUCCCAUAGCUUCUCCAGCAAAAAAACUUCCAUUAAUCUUUCUCUCUAUCAAAAUUCCUUGGAAAAAUGAAUCAUAGAUUUUUGUCCCUGAAGAAAGAGGCCCAGAGGGCUACAUGAAUACUGCAGACACAGUUUCUCAUCAUUGAUAAAAUUUACUGGUAAAAUUCACCAACCAGUUUAACAUGGAAUGUUACUAGACAUUCAACAAAUCCAAGGCUCAGCCCAUGAAAACUCAGCUAAUGUAAAUAAACAUGGAAAAUCUCCCUUUCAA